UGGGGAAUAUUGCGCAAUGGGCGAAAGCCUGACGCAGCCACGCCGCGUGAGUGAUGAAGGCCUUCGGGUUGUAAAGCUCUGUCGGGAGGGACGAAGGGGUAACCCUGACGGUACCUCGCAAGAAAGCACCGGCUAACUCUGUGCCAGCAGCCUCGGUAAUACAGAGGGUGCAAGCGUUGCUCGGAUUUACUGGGCGUAAAGCGUACGCAGACGGUCUAGCAAGUCGGGAGUGAAAGCCCUGGGCUCAACC
rnacentral:rRNA from 1 species